rnacentral:rRNA from 1 species
UACGAAGGGGGCUAGCGUUGCUCGGAAUUACUGGGCGUAAAGCGCACGUAGGCGGUUUCUUAAGUCGGGGGUGAAAUCCUGGAGCUCAACUCCAGAACUGCCUUCGAUACUGGGAAACUUGAGUCCGGGAGAGGGUAGUGGAAUUCCCGGUGUAGCGGUGAAAUGCGUAGAUAUCGGGAGGAACAUCAGUGGCGAAGGCGGCUACCUGGCCCAAUACUGACACUCAGGUGCGACAGCGUGGGGAGCAAACAGG